rnacentral:rRNA from 1 species
GACGAACCGUGCGAACGUUGUUCGGAAUCACUGGGCUUAAAGGCGCGUAGGCGGGUUCGCAAGUCUGUGGUGAAAGCCUCCAGCUUAACUGGAGAAGUGCCGUGGAUACUGCGAAUCUUGAGGAGGGUAGGGGCGUCUGGAACGGUCGGUGGAGCGGUGAAAUGCGUUGAUAUCGACCGGAACUCCGGUGGCGAAGGCGAGGCGCUGGACCCUUUCUGACGCUGAGGCGCGAAAGCCAGGGAGCAAACGGG